rnacentral:rRNA from 1 species
UACGGGGGGGUGCGAGCGUUGUCCGGAAUCACUGGGCGUAAAGGGCGCGUAGGUGGCCUGAUAAGGGUGUGGUGAAAGUCCGGGGCUCAACCCCGGAUCUGCCGUGCCGACUGUUGGGCUGGAGUACUGUAGGGGCAGGCGGAAUUCCGGGUGUAGCGGUGGGAAUGCGUAGAGAUCCGGAGGAAGACCGGUGGCGAAGGCGGCCUGCUGGGCAGUUACUGACACUGAGGCGCGACAGCGUGGGGAGCAACAGG